CCCUGGGAGUACCUGGUUGUCUCCAUGGACAUUUCCAACAGAAGGGCAACACAAAAGGAAAACCCAUUCCAGGACUUCACCAGGUUAUCGCGUCUGAAUUAUUCAUUCCUGAGCCUGGCUCUGUCUGUUCCAAGCAUUCUCAUCAAUUUAAAAACAUUUCUUCCCAUUCAUCUUGUUUGCAGGUUUCUUAUUUGAUUCUUCACAAAAGGACUGCCCUCCCCCCCAUUUAUAUCAUAUGAGAGAGAACAUAAUGGGAAGUGGCCCUAAAAACUAUGAAGAAUGACCUCACCAGACACUAGAUCUGCUGGUACCUUGACUUUGGACUUUCCAGCCAGUCUCCAGAACUUU
ensembl:lncRNA